UACGUAGGGGGCUAGCGUUGUCCGGAAUCAUUGGGCGUAAAGCGCGUGUAGGCGGUCCGGUAAGUCCGCUGUGAAAGUCGGGGGCUCAACCCUCGAAUGCCGGUGGAUACUGUCGGGCUAGAGUGCGGAAGAGGCGAGUGGAAUUCCUGGUGUAGCGGUGAAAUGCGCAGAUAUCUGGAGGAACAUCGGUGGCGAAGGCGGCAUCCUGGACCGGUAUUGACGCUGAGGCGCGAAAGCCAGGGGAGCAAACGGG
rnacentral:rRNA from 1 species